UUUAAUGGAGGUGUUAAGGUAAAAAGGCAACCAUGAAAUAUUCUGUCACUCACCUUCCUUCAGCUGCUCCUCUGCAACCUCUGUGUCAUUGUCUGGCAGGGGGGAAAAGACAGCAUGUCAAACCAUGCUAUUUCAUAAUGUACGAUACACCGCCAUGCUCUGAAAUCUUACCAACAACCCUUCACAGCCUCCCUGAAUUCCCCCACCAGACGGCCUUGGAUCUAUCUAUUUUGUGAGACAGACUAAGACAACUAAAGGUAUUUCUGGGUGGAUGAGUUGAGAUGCACAGAGGGAGAUGAGAAGGAGACGUUGGAUGCUGCAGAGGGAGGAACUGCCGAGGGAGAGACAGGGAGAGAGCAACUGUGGAUGCCUGCUCACGGAUCCCGGCUCCCAUCCUACGAACACACACACUCAGAUCUCAGCAUGCAACAUUCUUUGAGUCAAGCCACUGUAUAGUAUGUGUGAGCUUGUGUGUUAUUAUGCAUGGUUCAUCUGGAUGUGUGAGGGCAAGCGAAUGAUGUGACUAUACUAUAUGACUAUACGUGUGUGUGUGUAAGGCUGUGCACGAGUCUGAGCAAUGAUUGCACUGCGGUUAACAAGAAAAAGAAAGCGUUAGCUUUGAUGAAAGGCUGUUGUCAUCUGUUCUGUAGAAGUGUAACCAUCAGAGCUCCCUGUGGAUCCAGCGACAGACUUUUCUUUUGUAUAACACUGAAUAAAAGGGUACAGUGCAUUAAUCUAACCCUGCUUGGGGAAACAAAGGAUGGCCCACUGAUACAGUAUAACAAUAGUGUAAGAAUGGAAACAUGGGGUGUACCAGCUACUGCCACAUGCUAUAACAUUAUUGCCACUGCUCAACACUGCUGUCAGCACAGGAUAUGUAUGUGACUGGAAUAACAAUAUAUGACACCUUUAUUUAUUUCUAGGGGUAAAGACAACACAAUCGCAGCUUCACACAAGGGAUUCUUACUAUACUAUAUGGCUUUCUUGAUCUUGAUUAAACAAACACUAUCAUGAUAUGAAACAGAUGAGAGAAACUAUCAGCUGUUUUAUUUUUGAGAAAUAUGCUAAUUUCCUUUUUUUCCUGAGGGUUCGAUGAGAGGAUCAAUG